rnacentral:ncRNA from 1 species
CAAAUUUUUAUAAGGAGAAGAAGAUAAUAUUCAUAUAUUUAUUACUGAGUUAUCAGUAUUGUUGUUCUUUUUCAUUGUUAUAAGGGAUUUUGUCCUAUUUAAUGAUUCCUAACUACUUUUAUAUUUUGUUAUUAUUUGUUAUUGUUGAUAUUGGUUCUUUACAACAAUAAUAGUUAUAGUUCCUAUACUUGUUUCUAACUCCAUUUAGGAGGCAACGCACAUGAUAGUGCGUCUGAGGUACUCAAUUGCACUAGCCAAGAUCCCAAGUGGUAGGGACGAGAAUUUAAUUACAUGAAGUAAGGCGAAAUAUGAGUAAGCCCUCCUUCAUAAACGCCCUCGCACGCCCAACAAGUGGGAAUCUGACUCGAUGUGCCUAGAAAUAGCAAAAUGCCGGAAGACCGAGAGGGGAUAUUCGCCUUGGCCUCCCGCGGAUCUUCCACACUGCGAGGGGCCGCGCUAGCUCGCGGCGUACUCUUCGGCCGCCACUCAACGGUCGACUCAGAACUGGCACGGACUUGGGGAAUCCGACUGUCUAAUUAAAACAAAGCAUUGCGAGGGCCCUAGCGGGUGUUGACGCAAUGUGAUUUCUGCCCAGUGCUCUGAAUGUCAAAGUGAAGAAAUUUAAGCAAGCGCGGGUAAACGGCGGGAGUAACUAUGACUCUCUUAAGGGAUGCCUCCGCCCCUUAACCCUACGUCAUCAUGCCUAGGGCACUGCCUAUGGUCCGGUUUUACCACCUGAGAGUCGGGCAACGGAUGG